AGGACGAACGCUGGCGGCGUGCCUAAUACAUGCAAGUCGAACGGUCUUUUCUAUGGAAGCUUGCUUCCACUGAAAAGAUAGUGGCGAACGGGUGAGCAACACGUGGGUAACCUGCCCAUAAGAGGGGGGAUAACAUCCGGAAACGGGUGCUAAUACCGCAUAGUUUUCUUGAUCGCAUGAUCGGGAAAGGAAAGACGGCCUUUGUGCUGUCGCUUAUGGAUGGACCCGCGGCGUAUUAGUUAGUUGGUGAGGUAACGGCUCACCAAGACGAUGAUACGUAGCCGACCUGAGAGGGUGAUCGGCCACAUUGGGACUGAGACACGGCCCAAACUCCUACGGGAGGCAGCAGUAGGGAAUCUUCCGCAAUGGACGAAAGUCUGACGGAGCAACGCCGCGUGAGUGAAAGAAGGUUUUCGGAUCGUAAAACUCUGUUGUCAGAGAAGAACAAGUUGGAGAGUAACUGCUCCAGCCUUGACGGUAUCUGACCAGAAAGCCACGGCUAACUACGUGCCAGCCGCCGC
rnacentral:rRNA from 1 species